GAUGGUUUGGCAGAAUUAUAUGCAUUAGAUUUAGGAUCUAAAGAUGGUACUCAUAACCAAUCAUCU
rnacentral:tRNA from 1 species